rnacentral:rRNA from 1 species
UGGGGAAUAUUGCACAAUGGGGGAAACCCUGAUGCAGCGACGCCGCGUGAGCGAAGAAGUAUUUCGGUAUGUAAAGCUCUAUCAGCAGGGAAGAAACUGACGGUACCUGACUAAGAAGCACCGGCUAAAUACGUGCCAGCAGCCGCGGUAAUACGUAUGGUGCAAGCGUUAUCCGGAUUUACUGGGUGUAAAGGGAGCGUAGACGGAUAGGCAAGUCUGAAGUGAAAGCCCGGGGCUCAACCCCGGGACUGCUUUGGAAACUGUUUAUCUGGAGUGCUGGAGAGGUAAGUGGAAUUCCUAGUGUAGCGGUGAAAUGCGUAGAUAUUAGGAGGAACACCAGUGGCGAAGGCGGCUUACUGGACAGUAACUGACGUUGAGGCUCGAAAGCGUGGGGAGCAAACA